rnacentral:rRNA from 1 species
GAUCAUGGCUCAGGAUGAACGCUGGCGGUGUGCUUAACACAUGCAAGUCGAGCGAAGCACUCAAGUUUGAUUCUUCGGAUGAAGACUUUUGUGACUGAGCGGGCGACGGGUGAGGUAACGCGUGGGUAACCUGCCUCAUACAGGGGGAUAACAGUUAGAAAUGGCUGCUAAUACCGCAUAAGACCACGGUACUGCAUGGUACAGUGGUAAAAACUCCGGUGGUAUGAGAUGGACCCG